rnacentral:rRNA from 1 species
GAUGAACGCUGGCGGCGUGCCUAAUACAUGCAAGUCGAGCGAACAGAUGAGGAGCUUGCUCCUCUGACGUUAGCGGCGGACGGGUGAGUAACACGUGGAUAACCUACCUAUAAGACUGGGAUAACUUCGGGAAACCGGAGCUAAUACCGGAUAAUAUAUUGAACCGCAUGGUUCAAUAGUGAAAGACGGUUUUGCUGUCACUUAUAGAUGGAUCCGCGCCGCAUUAGCUAGUUGGUAAGGUAACGGCUUACCAAGGCAACGAUGCGUAGCCGACCUGAGAGGGGGAUCCGCCACACUGGAACUGAGACACGGUCCAGACUCCUACGGGAGGCAGCAGUAGGGAAUCUUCCGCAAUGGGCGAAAGCCUGACGGAGCAACGCCGCGUGAGUGAUGAAGGUCUUCGGGUCGUAAAACUCUGUUAUUGUGGAAGAACAAAUGUGUAAGUAACUAUGCACGUCUUGACGGUACCUAAUCAGAAAGCCACGGCUAACUACGUG